CUACGGGUCGCUGCAGUGGGGAAUAUUGGACAAUGGGGGAAACCCUGAUCCAGCAAUGCCGCGUGUGUGAAGAAGGCCUGCGGGUUGUAAAGCACUUUCGGUUGGGAGGACUGCUUCUAGCACUAAUAUUGUUGGAAGUUGACGUUACCUUCAGAAGAAGCACCGGCUAACUCCGUGCCAGCAGCCGCGGUAAUACGGAGGGUGCAAGGUGUAAUCGGAAUUACUGGGCGUAAAGCGCGCGUAGGCGGCUAGAUCAGUCGGGUGUGAAAGCCCCGGGCUUAACCGGGGAACUGCAUCCGAUACUGUCUAGCUUGAGUACAGGAGAGGAGAGUGGAAUUCCACAUGUAGCGGUGACAUGCGUAGAUAUGUGGAGGGACACCAAUGGCGAAGGCAGCUCUCUGGCCUGAUACUGACGCUGAGGUGCGAAAGCGUGGGGAGCAAACAGGAUUAGAUACCCGAGUAGUC
rnacentral:rRNA from 1 species